ACCGCGAAUCUGAGGAUGGAGCCGCGGGCGCCGUGGAUGGAGCAGAAGGAGCCGGAGUAUUGGGAGCUGAACACACGGAUCGCCAAGGGCGACGCACAGACUUUCCAAAGGAACCUGCGGACCGCGCUCCGCUACUACAACCAGAGCGACACCGGGUCUCACACUACCCCGCUCAUGUACGGCUGCGAAGAGGGCCCCGACCGGUGCCUCCUCCGAGGGUACUAUCAGUAUGCCUACGAUGGUGCGGAUUACCUCGCCCUGAACGAGGACCUGAGCUCAUGGACUGCAGCGAACACCGCGGCUCAGCUCUCAAAGGGCAAAUUCGAGAUGGGCCGGGAGGCAGAGCGUUGGAGGGCCUACCUGGAGGGCAGAUGCGUGGAGUGGCUGGGCAGAUAGCUGGAGAAAGGGAAGAAGACUCUGCAGCGAACCCCCCCAAAGACACACAUGACCCACCACUCCAUCUCUGACCAUUUGACCACACUGAGGUGCUGGGCCAUGGGCUUCUACCCGAUGGAGAUCACCCUGACCUGGCAGCGGGACGGGGAGGACCAGACCCAGGACACAGAGCUUGUGGAUACCAGGCCAGCAGGGGACGGGACCUUCCAGAAGUGGGCGGCUGUGGUGGUGCCCUCUGGAGAGGAGCAGAGAUACAUGUGCCGUGUGCAGCAUGAAGGGCUGCUGGAGCCCCUCACCCUAAGAUGGGAACUGUCUUCCCAGCCUGAUAUCAUAGGAUUUGUUGCUGGCCUGGUUCUCCUUGGAGUUGUGGUGGUUGUUGUGGCUGGAGCAGUGAUCUGGAGGAAGAAAAGCUCAGGUGGGUAAGGAGGGAGCUAUGCUCAAGCUGCAAGCAGCGACAGUGCCCAGGGCUCUGAUAUGUCUUUCACAGAUUCUGAAGGUGAGACCCUGGGGGGCCUGACAUGGAGGAGGGAUUGGGACAGUGGGAGCACGACUAGGUUAUGGGGAUUCUUUGGAUUUGGACCUUUUGAGCAUGUGGUGGGCUAUUCAGAAUGUCAACACCUCCAGUGACUGACCUGAAUUUGUUCGAUUACUUUCUUUUGUAGCGUGAGACAGCAGCCUUAUGUGGGACUGAGUGAUACAGAUUUGUUCAUGCUAUGCUUUGUAAUUCAAGAACCCCUGACUUCUCAUUCUGCAAUGGGCCUCUGACUGUGUCUGCGUUCCUUUUAGCAAAAUGUGAGGAUGUGGGGGAAACUAGCCCACUUCUGCCAACCAGAUCCCCUUCCCCACCCACACUGAUCAUGAUCGACAUUCCCUGCUCCAGCAGAAGUGGGGCUGGAAGGUCUCCAUCCCUGAAGUAACUUCCUGUUGCUCUGAGCUGCAAUUUCUCACUUCUGUAUUGAAAAUGAGAAUCUGAGAAAGAGUUUGAUUAUUCAGAUUUUUGCCAUGAAGUGGGGUUGAUCGGUUAAUUAAAGGGGACGAAAAUUCUGAAAAUUUAAGAGAGAAAAUAAAUGAAAACCUGAGAAUGUUCCCAGAAUGCACGUUUACUGUGCUGAGUCUGUGAUAGGCAGGGUCAGGAGAAGGCGGUGGAGGAGCCGAGUGUGGACAGAGCCUUUGCCCAGUCAGUGCUCAGGACAGUGUGGGCUUUGAUGUGGUUACUCCUUGGCUGGGUCAUCUUCGCAUCUCUGUUGUCCUUGUCCCUUCAGUAGAACUUUGUCCUGCUAGGACCUGUGGUCACAAGGACACAGACAUUGCCUGGGCGUUGUCUUAUCCCUAUUGCUGUGGGCAGUGAGGGCAUUGUGUGGCCAGGUCAUCCUGUUCUCAGGCCUAAGCCUGGUCCUUGGCCCGCAUCAUUUGUGUGAUUAUUUUUUGUGUGUUUAUUUGUUUAGAGGAUUAUACCUGUUCUUGUAUGUGAGUUCUGGGUCAUUUGCUCUGGGUGUCCCUUGUCUCUGACAGCUGCAGGAGUCAUUUUGUCAAUGUCCCACAAGGCCCAGGGCAGCCCCUGCACAUGGGAGUCUCUGGUAACGAAAGAUGAAUUUUCAGACUCAUCCAGAUCCUGCCCUCUUUCUAGGACUGUUUUGUGGAUGAAUCUUUUCAUCUUUUCUUUGACCUUUUUUAGAGAGUAGGAAUCAAAUAGUUAUUCAUCUUAGAUAAAUUUCUGUUUUGUUUCCAUCCUUUUCAGCUCACCCACCCCACUCUCCCUGCCCUUAGCUCUGUAAUCCUAGUGCUGGCUCCAGUCUGUUCCAAAUUCAUGGAUUCAUCAAGCAGAGACUAAUUUAAAUUCGCAGUUGGUUGUAAAAUAAUACCCGUCAGCCAAGGAUGGUUCUUUCAUGAAAAUGGAAAUGAAAUUGUGUGCUGUAGUGUGCAGAAGGGUGGAUGUGGGUGAUGGGAUGGGCUAGAAGGAGGGAGGAGACAACAGUUCUUGUGAGAAAGUCCAGGUGGCAUUAAUGUCAGUGUGAGUGGAUGUUGUGUUACAGCUACCACAAAACAGCCUUUGGUCUGAGGCUGCAUUAAUAAAGACACUAUCUCUAGAAUAAGGAAGUGCUCUAUACUACAUUGAUCAUUCUACUGACAUUUGUUGAGUGACACGCUAUUUUUGCAUCUGGGAAGCACCAGUGAAGUAAAAACAAAAAGUGUGGCCUUGUGGAGCAUAUGUUUGUGCAGAGAGAGAGACAAACUACAGACUAUAAGCAUAGUGUAUUAUUUUCCUUGUUGCUGUAACAAGUUACCGCAGGCUUGUUGUUAGCUUCCAUCCAGUUGGUUCUGACUCCUAGCAACCGUUUGUACAACAGAGCUAUUAGAAAUGCAUGGCCCCUGGACACCUUUUAUACUCAGUACUGAAAUCAUUCCUGAGGUUCACCCUUCAGCCA